UACGUAGGGGGCAAGCGUUGUCCGGAUUUAUUGGGCGUAAAGAGCGUGUAGGCGGUCUGGUAGGUCCGUUGUGAAAACUCGAGGCUCAACCUCGAGACGCCGAUGGAAACCCUCAGACUAGAGUCCGGAAGAGGAGAGUGGAAUUCCUGGUGUAGCGGUGAAAUGCGCAGAUAUCAGGAGGAACACCGGUGGCGAAGGCGGGUCUCUGGGCAGUAACUGACGCUGAGGAGCGAAAGCGUGGGGAGCGAACAGG
rnacentral:rRNA from 1 species